UUUUUAUAACUUUAACUAUUGCAUCUUGCUGUGUCAAUACUAAUAUUUACACCAAAAAGAACUCUGUGUUUGAAAGAUAGACAUAUAAACAGACAGAUAGAUAGAUAAUAGAUAGAUACUAGCCCUUGGAUUAAUAGUGUCUCUCAUCCAGACUCUGAAUGUUUAAGAUUUAGAUUUUAAUAAGACAAUAAUUAUAUCAUAUAUUAUAUCAUUAUAUAUGUAACAGAGCAAGAAGAUAUUUAAUUUUGAGGAUAAAGGAGAUGAAUUUUAUGCAAGGUUCUCCCAGAACAUGUUCAUUUAAAUGAAUAUGAUAUAAUGAUAAUGAUGCAACAUUUAGGAAUAUGUUGUUUUUUACAGAAGAAAAGUAAUUUUUGCAUUAAAUGUGGCUGCAGUUUAAGUUGGGUAAGCCUCCAUACUAAGCACUCACUGCAGCCUCUGGAAAAUAAUUACAAUACCAUAAAAAAGAGACUUUUUCGGCUAAUUGGAGCCCGCAGGGAGUGAUUACAAAUGACUCAUUUGUCACUGUUGUCGGGUAUGAAAUUUGCUCUGCAAUGAUGCAGUGAGCUGGCUGCUCUGACAAUGGGCCUAAAGAAAAGGGAGCCGAGUGCGGCAGAUACGAUCUGAAUGGAACUCCUCCAGUAUUCAGCAUGCAGCACUGGGGUUCUUCCAUUUAGCCCAAUCACUGGUAAUAUGAUAAAUACGUUCAAUCAGGUUCUGGCCCUGACAUUACCCAGUGUCAGAGGCCCAAGUCUGCACAUAGCCACAGAGCUGACUCUCUAGCUAGGGAAGAUUAGGAGGAUUUGGGAAAACUCCCAGGCAGGAUUGGAAGAGGUAAAGAAGCCAACACAUUUAUCAGAUCUAGGGAUUAGCCUAACACACAGAUUCACGCCUAUCUCCCCGAUAAAUGGCAAAUAUUGUGUUACACGCUCAUCUGCAUUACCUGCUGUAAAUCCCCUCAGCCAGGGGCAGGCAACACCUGUAUGUUAAAGGUACCAGCAGCAAUUAAUAUUGGCAUAAUUCUUGUGUAGAACAGGGGUCUUUGUUGCACUAAAUAUUAUAUAUAUAUAUAUAUAUAUAUAUAUGUGUAUACAUACACUCUUAAGAUAUGGUAUUAUAUUAUCUGAUGUCAUGUUCUAGGAAAUGCUAAGCUGUACCUUUUUUGAUGAACAUUAAUUUUUAUCAUAUACGCAUAUAUGUGUGUAUAAAUGGACAGCACCUUUUUCAACUUGACUGUAUCAGCCUUUGUGCUCGGUCACGUAUAACACAUAUUGAAAUAUACCAGUAUAUAUAUAUAGAGAGAGAGAGAGAGAGAGAGAGAGAGAGAGAGACAGACAGAAAGAGAGGGGGGGAAGAUAUAAAUAUACAGUACAAAGAUAUAUAUCUAUAUAUAGAUAUAUAGAUCAUUGCUUACAGUAUAUGGGAGUGUACCAAACAAUAUAAAUAUACAGGUGUGUUUGGAAAUUGUUUUGCUAAGCAAAGCUGUGUACUAUAGAUGAUUUUCUUUGGUUUUCCAGAUACCUCAGUUUCUGGUUUUCUGGUUAUAGGGACAUUCUAUGUCUGCCUAUGAUGUAUGUGAGUUGGCUUGGUUUUAUAUGGCACCCAUAGCAGACUUUUAAAAAUGUGUAUAACCUUUAUUAUUUCUAUUUGAAGUCAAUUUUAUUCUUGAAUGGACAGAAGGGAGCUUGGUCAUUCUUCUCUCCAAUAUUAGGAGCACCAAAAAUAAUAAAAAGAGAGACCAGUAAAUAUAUCCCUUGUGAAAGGCCUAGCCUGGUAGCCUGCACCAGUGCAGAUCUUGGUGUAGGGUUCUUGGUGGAAAUCAUGUGGAAAUGGGUUUGGAGAGGUGAAGGUCCAGGGCAAUGAGGUUUAGGACUGGCUGCCACUGACUUACUGGGCUUGACAGACUUGCCCUAGAGGGCGGAGCCCCUGAACAUACCUCCAGCGAGGACCUUCCCUCUCUAACACAGCAGCCUUCCUCAAAAACACUGCAUCCCUCAAACAGAUGGGACCUUCACCUACAAAUCUGCCAACAGUUCCCGUGCAGGUAAGCUGACAGCACAUUGGCAUGGCAUUGUGGGGUGUGGGGAACAAAUAGUAAGGGGUGUCGGGGUUUCAUGCAUGCAAUUAAUAAAAUAGCCCAACUAGUGCCCCUCUAGGCAAGGGAGCUGCCAGUUGCCUCUGCAACUUAUUCUUGUGUCUUGAUUUUUCUCCCCUCUCUCUGCUGUUUCCAUUUAGACCUGCAAUGGAGUUUGGAGCCUCUCGCUUCCAAGAAGCAGCAGCAACAGAAUCUCGCCCUGCACCCAAUCUGCUGUUUCCUCCUUGACUUUAUUAUGAGAAUAGACUGAAGAGGGCGCUCAGUGGCAGAUCUGUACUGUUUCCUCCUUGACUUUAUUACGAGAAUGGAUGGAAGAGGGCGCUCGGUGCCAGCUUGCAGAAGAGGACACAAAAGGCAAUCGAAAUGUUGAUCCCUCGUUCGUUGAUGUGAAACGAAAAGUAACACAGAGAUUUCUGAAGGCAAACCUCCAUAGCCGGUGUAUGUGCAGCUGAUGACAGCCCAAGGUGUGACUUCCCAGGGAGACCGCUGAAUGGGAGCCCUGCAGAAUAAGACAUUCUUCUGCAAGAAUCCGUGUGCCCUUGUAUGGAGGGAGAAUGGGAGACAAACAAGCCCGAGUUGGUUGCCUGGGGUCUAAACAUUAGUUUUUCUCCUCUGGAAGAAAAAAACCUUCUUUGUCCAACCUGUUAGUGCUUUUGUUCUGAGGAUAAAGGCUAAAGACAACUUGCACAGCCUGAGCUGGGAACUCUGCCUUAAAUCCGGACCUGACACUAUUCACAGGCUCUUGACGAGGACAAAAAAGGGGAAAUUAGGCUUAAAAUCUCCCAGGCAGAUGUCCAGGGUUAAAACAGGUUAUUUGUUAAUUGCUUUUGUGUUCUUAAGGGGAGGGAAUUAAGAGCCCGAGGAAGAGACCUGUUAGAAAAAUUAUAAAAUACAAAAAGUUUGCUUUCCA